GUGAAUCAUCAAAUCUUUGAACGCAAAUUGCACUCCCUGGUAUUCCGGGGAGUAUGCCUGUUUGAGGGUCGUAAGAAUAAAAAAUCGAGGCGUCGCUCUUUUUUUUAAGGUUGAUCGCGUCGGAAUUGAGCCGUCUUUAAAUUGUUAAUUCUUGUAAAAUUGGCUUGAAAUUCAUCCAUCCGUUACG
rnacentral:misc_RNA from 1 species